GCCUGGUGGGGACGAAGCCCAGUUCGAAGCAAGAGUGCCAUUACAAUGGGCUUUGGCAGCCCAAUCAGCCACAAAGUUUGCCUCUCUGCUACAGUGACGCACAGCUAGGUUAUGGAAAUUAGAGAGCUUCAUUGCCGCUUCAGCAAUGAGGGAACACACCUCCCAUGGAGUCUCGAUCGGUCGUGAAGAGCAUUCACCAACACCAUACAGUCCGAUUCAAUGAGAAAAUGAUCCUCAUACUUCCCUUCUCGUGACAGAUGAUCAAGGGUAAGGAUGAGAGCUUGGAUCUCGGUCUGCAGAGCUGAUUUCGCUGGAAAAUCACAGGAUCUGGUGGUCGCCAUAGUGAAUGAGGAUGUAGAGAACAGAGGGAUGUUCGCUACAGAGAUGAGCGGGUUGAUUACUGUGGCAACGGAUCAAAGAGAUUGUAAGCGUGAACCUAGGCAGAAGCCAUGUGAAUAACCUGAAGAUGAUCAAGAUGCUGUUGCUGAAAUACAAAGCGGUUGCGUGCCUUCCAAAUUUGCCACAACAGAGCUGCAAUCAUUUGCAGAUCAGGACAGGUACGCCGUUCUUCUAGCUGAGCGACUAACCACACAUCUAUCCGUGUAAUUGAUUGCUGAGUGAUGGGAAUGUUAAUCUGUGGAUGAGACCAUAGAUGUUGUGCCCAUGGACAUAGUAGGAAGAGGUGUUCUGUAGUUUCUGGGAUAAAGUUUGAACAGAUGGGGCAAUAGGAAUCUGUAGUGAUGCAUCGCUGGAAUAAAUUGGCUUUCGUAGCUAAAGCGUUAUGGCAGACCGACCAGAGGAAAGGUCGGAUUUUAGGGGGAAGCUUCACAGCCCAAAUAGCUUUCCACAGUGAUUUGGGUGGGUGAUAGGACGAAGAUGCUAUAUUUUGUUGAGUAGUAGGAGUUGCAUUCCUAAGGGUAUGAUAUCCUUUUUUUCACCGAAUAUGUACCAUUUGUAGUACCUGUCCAGAUAAUUCUAUCAAAAGUAUAUUGAGGAC